rnacentral:rRNA from 1 species
UACGAAAGGGGCUAGCGUUGCUCGGAAUUACUGGGCGUAAAGCGCACGUAGGCGGCUUUCUAAGUCGGGGGUGAAAUCCUGGAGCUCAACUCCAGAACUGCCUUCGAUACUGGAAAGCUCGAGUCCGGGAGAGGUGAGUGGAACUGCGAGUGUAGAGGUGAAAUUCGUAGAUAUUCGCAAGAACACCAGUGGCGAAGGCGGCUCACUGGCCCGAUACUGACGCUGAGGUGCGAAAGCGUGGGGAGCAAACAGG